rnacentral:rRNA from 1 species
AGACCCGAAACCCGGUGAUCUAGCCAUGGGCAGGUUGAAGGUUGGGUAACACUAACUGGAGGACCGAACCGACUAAUGUUGAAAAAUUAGCGGAUGACCUGUGGCUGGGGGUGAAAGGCCAAUCAAACCGGGAGAUAGCUGGUUCUCCCCGAAAGCUAUUUAGGUAGCGCCUCGUGAAUUCAUCUCCGGGGGUAGAGCACUGUUUCGGCUAGGGGGCCAUCCCGGCUUACCAACCCGAUGCAAACUGCGAAUACCGGAGAAUGUUAUCACGGGAGACACACGGCGGGUGCUAACGUCCGUCGUGAAGAGGGAAACAACCCAGACCGCCAGCUAAGGUCCCAAAGUCAUGGUUAAGUGGGAAACGAUGUGGGAAGGCCCA